CGGGACGUAGCUCAGACUGGCAGAGCACAGCGUUCGGGACGCUGGGGCCGCAGGUUCAAAUCCUGUCGUCCCGACCA
rnacentral:tRNA from 1 species